CCCCUGCCAUGAUCCUGAAAUAUCUUACCAAGGACAGAGCGAUGGAGGAGGUUUGCCUUCCUUACAGUCCAAGGCAGUUGGUGUUAGGGAUCACAGAACAGCAACCAGAUGGAUGGAGGCAGUGUGCCUUCCUGUGUUUGCCAGGAAACUUUGCUCUGUCUUGGGCAAUCCAGGUGUUUGACAACUCCAGGUGCUGGUGCUGGCCCGAGCUCGCCCAUGAAGCGCCUUCCUGUAAGGGGUUAGGGUGGACGUGA
rnacentral:lncRNA from 1 species